AGAGUUUGAUCCUGGCUCAAAUUGAACGCUGGCGGUAUGCUUAACACAUGCAAGUCGAACGGUAACAGCAGAGCUUGCUCUGGCUGACGAGUGGCGGACGGGUGAGUAACACUUAGGAAUCUAUCCAGUAGCUGGGGAUAACUCGGAGAAAUCCGAGCUAAUACCGAAUACGCACUACGGUGGAAAGAGGGGGCUCUUCGGACCUCUCACUAUCGGGUGAGCCUAAGCCGGAUUAGCUAGUUGGUGGGGUAAAGGCCUACCAAGGCGACGAUCCGUAGCUGGUCUGAGAGGACGAUCAGCCACACUGGGACUGAGACACGGCCCAGACUCCUACGGGAGGCAGCAGUGGGGAAUAUCGGACAAUGGGGGUAACCCUGAUCCAGCAAUACCGCGUGUGUGAAGAAGGCCUGCGGGUUGUAAAGCACUUUCAGUAGGGAAGAAAAGCGGGAGCUUAAUACGCUCCUGAAUUGACGUUACCUACAGAAGAAGCACCGGCUAACUCCGUGCCAGCAGCCGCGGUAAUAAGGGCGA
rnacentral:rRNA from 1 species